rnacentral:lncRNA from 1 species
CGGCACCAAACAGCCCCACGCCGGGGCCAGCGCACACCGGGGCCAGUGCCGCGGCUCCCCGAGGGUCUCAGGAGAACGCUGACACUUCGGGAGCAUCACCCCGGGCCCUUCGGCCCUGGCCCGGGCGGUGCUGUCCUGGCCUCGGGCUGCCCGCACAACUCGGAGCGGUUUCCCUGCGGACAGAGGGACAGCUCGCCCCAGGGGUUACAGCAUCUGCGCUGAACGGACAAACCGCUUCCAAACCCACUGCGCAUAUUCACACCAUCAUUAGCAUCAGUUUAACCAGACUGCCUUGAACUGGACCAGGCUAAGUUUUUUCUCCCUAACUCUGCUUCUGUCAUGGCACUUCCAUGCUUUCCACAGAACGGCAGUGUUAUUUUUAGUUUCCCUGUGCUGCUUUUUAUUCACUUUUAAAUAUCUUAGAAUAGCUCCAUGCAGACUAAUCUACUGUGUUUUGCUCAUAUUCACAGGACAUAGUUUUGUCAGGCAACUGAGAUGCAGAAAAAUCCUGGGACAGAUUUCUGUGACAUAGACUUCACCAAGACAAUAAUAACUUUGCUGCAAGUCAUAACCUCUGACACUUCAGCUACUCUUUCACUUCUGCUGGAAUGAUUACAGUCCUAUUGUGGAAAAUAAUCCAUUCUGCAGACAAGAAUAGUAUGCUACACAGCUGUCACUCUUUAGGUAGGAAGGCAAAGAGGAAUGUGCUAUUCAUGCAGUUGAAUACAGAGCAGAAGAGAUCAGCCUUCAGAGGAACUGUAGGAACAGCUGCCAUGCACCAAGCCUUACACUUGUUUCUGAUGUUCCACUAAAGAAGUACAGACCUUCUUUGACCUUUGUUUUUGACCUUUAUUUUUGUUGUUGUUUUUUCAUGUCUGGUAAAGCAGGUCAGGGACCCCAGCUAAGACCUCCCAGGUGCACAGUGCUGUAGAGACACUGCAAGAAGAGAGAGUUGACCUUGAUAAAAAUGGGAGAGAGAAAAAUUAUUCCCACUGUCAUAUCUGUCCAUGCUAGGAAGGGACGACCAAAAAGACCAGUAAAUGUGAGCAAUGCCAAGCAGUGUAUCUGUGAAGAGCCAGGAACCAAAUGCAUCAUUGCAAACCCCUUUUAGUUCUCCAAUCCUUCAUUUGUAAAUUUCUCCAUUUUUUUUUUGCCAUCCAAAUUAUUUAAUAGUGUAAUCUAGAGCUUUAACUCAGUAUCAGAGAAUUCAGUGAAAAGAAUUGUUUUCUACUGACUCCAGUUAGCUUUAAAAGAGUCAGGUAGACUUUCUUAAUUUUUAUCAAUCUAUGUGUGGACUCACCCACGUCCAU